CGAAGAGGCAGCGAGCUCGGAUCAGAACCAACUUGUUCCCGGCGCUCUGCCUGCGGACCGACUUGGAGGUGUUGAAGCGGCAGCGGAACAACCGAUCUGCGAGGGGAAAAUAGAGUUGACGACGACGAGAACCAUCCAGAAGACGGAUUUCCUGGUGUACAUGCACGCCAGCGACAUGAUGUGAAGGUACGACAGCUUGGCUUUGUCCGCCUCGGAGAUGGGCAACAAGUCCUUCAGGUUGCGGAUCUCCGCGUUGAUCUGGUCCCGUCUGGCCUUGGAGGCUCCCUUAGUCGAGCGCUCCAUCACACUUCUGUCGGCACACAGGACAAACAUGAUGAUGCGGAUGAAGAUGAUGUGCGUGUUCUCUCAGCGCUGCGUGCGACGCGGCGAUGACUAAAGGUCAAAGCCUCGUCCAGUAUGAAAAAUAUUGCUUCGAUGCCAUCUUCUGACGACUGUUGAGUGGUUGCGUGUUGAGGGAGGCCGUGCGUCCUCACCCUGGCAGAGCCGCGUGCCUUGCAGCUGGUAUCCCUCGGGGCACACGCAGGAGAACUUGCCCGGCUCGUUGACACACUGGUGCUGGCACAGGUAGCUGGA